AUUGAACGCUGGCGGCAGGCCUAACACAUGCAAGUCGAACGAGUGGCGGACGGGUGAGUAAUGUUUGGGGAUCUGCCCGAUGGAGGGGGAUAACUACUGGAAACUGUAGCUAAUACCGCAUACUAUCGGAUGAACCCAUAUGGGCUUAGCUAGUUGGUGGGGUAAAGGCUCACCUAGGCGACGAUCUCUAGCUGGUCUGAGAGGAUGACCAGCAACACUGGGACUGAGACACGGCCCAGACUCCUACGGGAGGCAGCAGUGGGGAAUAUUGCGCAAUGGGCGCAACCCUGACGCAGCCAUGCCGCGUGUAUGAAGAAGGCCUUAGGGUUGUAAAGUACUUUCGGUGGGGAGGCGUUAACUGCAGAAGAAGCACCGGCUAACUCCGUGCCAGCAGCCGCGGUAAUAC
rnacentral:rRNA from 1 species